AGUCACUGACAUUGGAUACCCGUGUAGUCCAGGGUGUAAACGCUGCAGACUUGGUGUUGGGGGCCCUUUGGGGGCAUUCAGUGCCGGAGAGAAGUUGUUAAGUCUGCUACUUGGGGAGUACGUCCGCAAGGAUGAAACUUAAAGGAAUUGGCGGGGGAGCACCGCAACGGGAGGAGCGUGCGGUUUAAUUGGAUUCAACACCGUAAACUCACCAGGGAGGACUGUUACAUGAAGGCCGAGAUGAAGACUCUGCUAGAUUUUCAG
rnacentral:rRNA from 1 species